AGAAAAACGGUUAUGUUUUGAAGAAACGAUUUUGAAAAAAGUGCAAAAAAGUAUGGUCCAGGUGAGGCUCGAACUCACAACCCCGGCAUCGCUCACGAACAACUGUCUUAUAAGUACCGUGCGCUAACCGAUUGCGCCACUGGACCUGUUCGUGAGGAGUCGAUUUUUACCCAUUUAAGUGGUUUCACAAUCAGCCGUAACAAAUUAUUUGUUUCAAUAGCAUUGUUUCAAGCACAAUGUAGGUAGAGAAGAUAUCUUUUCUGUUCUCUACAUCGUGGUUUCAAGUUAUUAUUAUUUUUUUUUUAUACAAUUAGGUACCUUUUUACCAUGUAGUAACUUACACAUGCACCUAUAUUUUAUUGUGUAGGAACUUAUAUAUACAGUAAAACCUCGAUAAGACGGAACUUUGGUAAAACGGAAAAUUUCUUUGGUGCUUUUUUUCAAAUUUCAUUUUUUUGAACCUCGUCAAAACGGUAACCCUGUUAACACGGAAAAAUUGCAUGGUCCUAAGCGAUUCUGUCAUGUCCAGUUUUUACUGUAUGUACCUUACUUUAUUGUGUAAGAACUAACAUAUGUAUUUUUUUUUAUCUGCCAUAGGUCUCGUGUAAACCAAGGCAGUCGAACGAGUUAUGAUUUCACCAUCAUUCAUGAUUUAUUAAAACAUCUCAAGAGAUUGAAAAACUCGUUACACACGCGGCGUGGGGUAUAGCAAAGUAUAGCGUAGUGCGUAUGCGUAAAAAUAUAAAAUCGUAAACUUUGGAAGGAUAUACAUUAUUAGUAAAAUAAUGAUUUGCGCAAAUUCAUUUUUGCACCAUCAUUAAAAUACAUGUUUGAAAUAAAAAAAAUUGAAAAAACCGCGUGGUAGCUAAACUGUAAAUUGCAAUUAUGCCAUAAUUUUUAAAAUUACAUUUUCCAGCAACGUUAUACUAAUUAAUUUUGUACAAAACCGUGUGAAUAAUGAAAAAACUGAAAAGGUAUAGGUAUAUGGGGGAUCAUGAAUCGCUGAUUUGUAUCAUGAACUUCGAAGUAAGCCGUAAGGUACCUUAUCUACCUACCAAUUACCAUUGAUUACAGAAUAGACAGUAAGUACUGUAGUAAACUAGUAACUAUAGUAGGAAACUAGGAACGCCCAAGACCUCCACACGUGUGGAGUCGUGAGUAGGUACCGGACUCAGACCAUGGAGUAACUACUAACAGUACUCGGUAGCAUGACAAAAUAUAUUGAAUAAAUAUUUUUUCAUGCUCAGUAGUACAGUGCUAACUAGUAACUAGUAACUAUAUAGGACAUAGGUAGACAGGUAGUGUAAUAGUAAAUAGUGUAAAGACUGAAAGUGUUAUACUCAUUACUCGAUUACUCAAUACUUCAUAUUAUACAAUACCUAUACCUAUACCUAUACCUAUACCUAUACCAAUACCUAUACAUGUCCUAAGACAGACCACGACGCUUUUCGCCCUCCACUCUGCCAACACAUCAUAACAGUGUUACCAAAUAUUAUCGCACAUGUCAUUAAUAAUCUUAAUUCUUAGAGCGGUAUUGGUACUAUCCAUAAAUACGUAAUAUCUAUCUAUAUACUAUCCUUACUAUUAUAUAAAAUUGUAAGGGUUUUUCUACGACCGCGCUAACCGAGAAAAUACUUCUUUUUUUUUUUUUCGUGUUAUCGAGGACCGGAGGAAGGACUGCUGUUGGCAUUAAUUUCCCUAUAAUUCACCUACUAAUUUGUCGUUUUAGUUUAAUUAAAUUUAUUUGUUUAUUUAAUAGUUCAGAAUUGACGGAUUAAAUAUACUUCCUUUCGACUAAUGCUCGGGGAUGCAGGUUUAUUUCGCACCUGUUACACUAGGGUAGCAGUUUUAAAGUGACCGCAAAACCAAGUGCAAGAUAACUAAAAUAAGCUAAAUAACGAAUAAUAUAAAGUUAUAAACAUUUUGGAGUGCUAUAACUGAAUACAACUGCAUCAAAUAUGAACACAUAGCCCGUGAUUCUAUGUAUAUUUUCCAGGUAAGACUAAAAAUUAAGUUAGUCAUAGUCUGCUGCAACAGCGGUGGCCGGUGCCCAGUGACAUAACUGUGUGAUAAAGGUGUGGAAGCUUUGGUGACGACAACCGCAAUAGCAGCCAUGAGUAUUGAUUUAACAAAUGUUAAGAACAUAUUUUUGUUAUAAUUAUUAUGUUAAAUACAAUGUUUAUGGGAGUCUAUAGAAGAGUAUUCAGAGGUGGUAAAUCCCUAUUUACUUUUUUUUUGUGUUUUUUUAAAAAUCUAAUUUGUUUUGUAUAUUUUUUCAAUCAAUUAUUUUAAUAUUAUUUUAUUAUUUUGUGUUUUACUUAAAGAGUUUUCUUUGUCCUCAUACGUAUGUGUGUAUAAAGCAUGUCAUGUGCAUAUGUAUAAUUUAAUUAUAUAAUAUUGUGUUAAUAUGUAAUUUACAUAUCUACUUAUUAAUGACUUCUGUCAUCAAACAUCUCCUGUAUAGGUAUUGUGAAGUAUAUAGAUAAAUAAAUAAGAAAUAUAAAAUUAA